CUGAGGUCAGAUUUUUCCGCAUAAUGACGCACACCGGGAAGCACUCGUGGUUGAAGAUGUGCCUAGGCGUGGGCUCUGGACGAUCAAGAUGAAAUACGGCCGGAUCUGUCUCUUCUACCCUCGCCUUCUUCACCGACCCGAAAGUUGCAGCAUCUUCCCGCUCAUGGGCUUUGAGACUCUGGGCUAACAUCCGAGCCACGUCCGUGCCCAUAUCUGCAAUGAAGG
rnacentral:lncRNA from 1 species